rnacentral:rRNA from 1 species
GCCUAGCCAUAAACUUAGAUAGCAAAAUACAACCUAUCCGCCAGAGAACUACAAGCAAAACACUUAAAACUCAAAGGACUUGGCGGCAUUCCACAUCAGCCUAGAGGAGCCCGUCUAAUAAUCGAUAAUACACGCUCAACCCAACCAUUCUUGGCCACUCCAGCCUAUAUACCGCCGUCGCCAGCUAACCUUGUGAAAGAAAAGUAGUAAGCAAAAUAGUCCCCACUAAAACGUCAGGUCAAGGUGUAGCUAAUAAAAUGGAUAUGAUAGGCUACAUUUUCUACCAUAGAAAACACGGAUACUACAAUGAAACCUUGUAGUAGAAGGCGAAUUUAGAAGUAAAUUAAGAAAGGACCCUUAUUUUAAUAUCGCUCUGGAAUGCGCACACACCGCCCGUCACCCUCCUCAAAAAUCAGAGGAGGUAAGUCGUAACAUGGUAAGCGUACUGGAAAGUGCGCUUGGAUUA